rnacentral:rRNA from 1 species
AACGAACGCUGGCGGCAUGCCUAACACAUGCAAGUCGAACGAGACCUUCGGGUCUAGUGGCGCACGGGUGCGUCACGCGUGGGAACCUGCCCUUAGGUUCGGAAUAACUCCCCGACAGGGGUGCUAAUACCGGAUAAUGUCUUCGGACCAAAGAUUUAUCGCCUUUGGAUGGGCACGCGUUGGCUUCGCUAGUUGGUAGGGUAAAAGCCUACCACGGCGACGAUCCAUAGCUGGUCUGAGAGGCGGAUCAGCCACACUUGGACUGAGACACGGCCCAGACUCCUACGGGAGGCAGCAGUGGGGAAUAUUGGACAACGGGCGAAAGCCUGAUCCAGCAAUGCCGCGUGAGUGAUGAAGGCCUUAGGGUUGUAAAGCUCUUUUACCCGGGAUGAUAAUGACAGUACCGGGAGAAUAAGCUCCGGCUAACUCCGUG